AUUUUACAACGCGAACCUUAACGGACCGGUGUGAAUAUUUUCUGUUCGGGAACGCGCUUAAUGCAAACAAUCGUUUUGUCUUUCGGAAAAUAUCUAAAUAAUUUUGUGCAAAUUAAAUGAAAAUUGUUUUGUAUUUCUACACUAGAAACAACUCUUCUUAAAACAAAGUGCGUGUGUGUGUGCAAUUGCAAGAAGAAAACUUGGAGUGUGUAACUAUAACUUCUUGAAGAAAAAAAAAUCGUUAGAUUGUGAAAUCUGUGUAGGAAAACUAACACAGCUAAUGGUUUGGUACAUUUGAUCAAGGCAAAGUAAAGAAAGGCAUUCAUUAAUAUUCAUAGAAAUACUUACUUAAAAAAUUUAUCAAAACUAAUUUUCACUAAUUAAACGAAUAAAAAAGUAACUAAAAUUCUUACCCUUUCUUUGAAGAAUUUUUUUGGAAUGCCCAUUAACAUAUGAAAAUUUAGAAAAUUUUAAAAUCUAUUUACAAAAACAAUAUUUUCAAUAAUUGAAAAAAUUUUAAUAUUUGGACAUAAUUUUAUGUGGAAAAAUUUUAAAAAAUUGGUUCAAAAAAAGUUAGAAUUAUUUUACAAAAAUAAUAUUUAAAAUAUUUGAAGAAAUUAAAAUAAUUGGACAAAAUUUCAUGUGGAAAAAUUUUUAAACAAUUGGUCCAAAAUUCUUCAAAAUAGAAAAAAUAAUUAAAUAUUAACAAACGUAUUACCUGGCUACAAAAAAUCUUUAAUAGGCUCUUAUUAAGGAGAUUUAAAUUAUAACAAAAAAUCUUAAAGUGCCAAUUUUUGCUUUUGUAAAAAUAAAUAAACGAGGAAAUACUAAGGAAAAUAAAAAUAUCAUACAAAAAAAUCUUUUCAAAAAGUGAUUUCUCCAAAAAAUUAAAAAGCCUUCUAAAAAAAAAAAUUCCACAGAAAGUGUGCUCAUAUCUGUGCCUUUUGAAGCAUAAAAUUUUAAAGCAAAAAAAAAAAAAAAGAAUCAAAUUCUAGGUGUUUACUUUUCACCCACAACGCGCCUUUCGUCGUCUGCCUGACUUGCCUUUUGCCAGCCGCCUUGUGUCAACAUUGAAGAAGAAUGAUAUCAUAACCAAUUUUCAUAGUGAAAUCAAAUAUAACAGAAAAAGUGCAAUUUAAAUAAAUGGAAAAGUUCAAUAAAAGCAUUUGAACCAAGUUCAUCGUGGUAAUAAGAAUAAAAAGAAAAAUUCAAGUUUCCCCUAAAAAUGCUACAAGUGCAAAAAAGCUAAAUCAAUAACGAUAAAGUAACAUAAAGUUGUCUUACAUUUACAAAAAAUAAAAAUGCAAAAGAAAUACAAAUAGCAGAAGUUGAGAAAAGAAAAUCUAAUAGUCACUAAUGUGUUGUUGUUUAUUCAGCCUUAACAAAUAACUUAUACCUAAGCAGUGCUAAAUCUAACCAUACAACAUAACAAAGUAUACAACCCAGCAAACAAUUUAUCAGAAAAAAAGAAAAAAAAAAAAAUUAAAUAAAAUAAAUAAUUGUGUGCCCGUAUCAAUCAACCACUACAGCUGGAGCAGCAGCAGCAUCAGCAUCAGCAUCAUUACAACAGCCAUCAUUAUUCUUAUCCUUCCUGAUAGAAUUCAACAGCAGCCAUCAAGGAUAAUUUAGCUCUCAAGCGGUGGCCAUUAAUUUAACUUCCCCGCAAAUCGUUUAGGCUAACUAAUAAGCAAAAUAAAAAAAAAAUACCUAACGCAGAAGAAACACCAUCACAAAUUUUUUUGGUGAAACAUCAUCUGUUUUUUUUUCGUGUGUGUACGUUUUUUUCUAUCAUUAUUAAUUGUUUUUUGUGCCUUAAAAACCGACCAUACGGCCGACAUCAUGAAUCACAACCGAAUCUAUUGGAGUGGCGUCAUAUUUGUCAGCACCAUGCUGACAUUGGCGAAAUUUGUACCGACAACGGCGACAACUGCAGAAUUAACAGGUAAAUUUCUUAUCGCAUGUAAUCUUUGUAAAACUAUGGAAUUGGGGUAAGAUUUUGGAUUUUCGUGUUUAUUUUUAAUUUUCUUUUUAUCAUUCCAAGGGCAUUUAAAAAUGAAAUGCCAUAUGCAGAGAAUAGUGCCUACCAUGUAAGACAAAUAAAUUAUUAAGGCAAUGAAGAAAAGCUUCACUAGGCAAUAUUUUGGUGAUAAGAUAAGAUAUGAGAAUGUAAACAAAUUUUAAAACAAACCAGCAAGGAAAGGCAAACGUCGGGCGGUGCCGACUUUAUAAUACCCUACACCUACCCUAUAGGUACAAAGUGGGAGCUAUUUCUAAUUCCGAACCAAUACAAAAAUGUUCGAAUUAUGAAAAAACCACUUAG